UUCCCAUCAUAGUUCCAUCCUGGUUCUUUUAUCGACUAGCUGAGUGGAAUAGGGUUGCCAACUUUGUCUAUCUGAGAGUUUUGUUGUGAGGAAAAUAACAAGCACUAGUUUUUGGAGUAAAGUAUAAUUUCCUCAUUGCAUAUUAAACCCAACUCACCCGAUUGUCAGAAAGAUUCUAUCUAGUUUGUGAUUCUAAGUCGGGGGGGGGGGGUGGUUAGCGUUGAGUUUCAGGUUCUAUAAGAACGGGACUAAGGAAACUCAUUACCAGGUGGUAAUCAUCUUCAUCUAUUCAAUAACACCGUUUGGUGUACACACUAAAUUGUGGCACUGGAGACUCACAUAGAACUGAAGUAACUCACCAGUUCCUAGAGGCAGGUGGGCACGUAGGGAGAGAGAGGCAGCGGCGCCUUCCAGGCGCUCUCCCUGGUACAGAGGCGGCGGGGGCCAGGGCUGUCAGGACACCCAGGCCCACGUGCCAGGCUCCGGCUCACCUGCCCGAGGGCAGAGCGGGAAGCUCCGCCCCUCGCGGAACCCCGGCCUGUGCGCAGUUCCCGUGCCCUAGGAGUUGGCGGCGGGGCCCAGCCGAGAAUCUUCUUCCCUUCUGGUCUGACUAGGAAAGCCAGAGGGAGAUGGUGAAGGAGACACAGAGAGAGUAAAAGAACAGACCAUGCCCAGCCUCUCCACUGCAGGAGCUUGGAAUCAGAUGGGCCAGGGCAAUUACAAGGUGAGCCUGCACAAUCUUGUUCUGGAAAGCAACGAAGCACUCAAAGAAUGACGAGAACAUGCCAAAAAGACACAGAAUCCUGCAGGAAGGUGUUUCCCCAUGAACGUAAAAAAGACAACAAUGUGAAGCAGAGUUGCCAGCCAUCUAUGGAUCCUAACUAAAUUGGUCCUUGUAAUACUCGGUAUUAUUUGCCAAGAUAUUGAAAAACCUCUAAACAGUGAGAAGCUCCCAGCCCCUUUUCUGUGUCUCUCAUCACCAGCUGCUGUGCCCUGAGGACACCCAGGCAGCCUAAGGAGAGGCCCACAGGUGAGAAACUGCAUGUGUGAGCUGAGCUUGGAAGUGGAUCUUCUAUGUUUUGCCAACAGCCACGUGACUAGUUUUGGAAGCAGAUUCUCCAGCCCCAGCUGCACCUGUGCCAGAGGCACCCAUUAAGCCGCACCUAGUUAAAUUCCUGACCCACAAAGACUUUGAAAUCAUAAAUGUUUGUUGUUUUAAGCUGCUAAGUUUUGAAGUAAUCUGCCAUGUAGCAACAUGAAACUACUUGGACCAAAUAUGUGUUUUUCUAAGCACAGGAAUAUUCACACUUUAUUAAACUUGAGUAUUCCAACAAUAGGAUGGAAGUCCAAGUUUUAUUUCUUUGCUGGGACCCUCACAUGCAUGUAUCACAUAUGUAUCAUUAAAAAAUGAAGGACAAAUCUAAUCAGGG
rnacentral:lncRNA from 1 species